UGAAAUGAAUGCACUCUAAUAAAACUGCACUGCUGAUGAUUUUAAGGUUUAUCAUCUGCAAUUUGUUUAGGGGAUAGUCCAUGAUCAAAGGGAAGGAAGAUCUUAAUUUUGUCAAGGUGGCGUUUGCUGAGAGGGUCCAGGCCUUACAGAAAGGACAGGUCUGUUUUUUCCCUGGAAAAAAUUGAUUCUUAAUUUAAGUUGACCUUUUAGAAUGAUUUUCCUACAUGUCCUUGUCUAAAAUAACCGGGUUUGACAUUUGAACCUAUAUGUAGGUCUAUUUGCCUUCCCAAUGUGAAUUUACCUUAUUCUGACUUAUUCUAAUUUCAUAGAAAUCCCACUUCUUAAUGCCUUGCCAAAACUUCUGACAAAAGUAUUUGCUAGGUUCUUAAUAAAUUUUUUCCCAAACACAGCUUUCAGCUUCCAGAAGAGAAGUCUGUCUGUGAUACUUUAUAAACAUCAAUGUAACUGUUCUAGAAUGAUAAAAAAGAAUAAGCCAUAAAGCCAACUUUGUUUUUCCAAAUGCCUUAUAUUCAUGUCCCUUUCUAUAUGCUAACUUAAAUCAUUAAGAACUUUGUUUCAUUUUAAUUUACUAGUGACUAAUUAUGUGAUAAUGGUAGAAACAUUUUCAAACAUGGCUUUAAUGAUCACUAAACUAGAUGUUUUAACUUAUAACUCCCUUUGUAAAACUUCUCUGAUUUCUCCUGUAAUAAAUUAGUUUGCCUUUAAGCUUAAAUGUGGCUUUCUGUUCAACACCCUUUUACUCUCUAGAGUUUCCUCCAGGGUGUAAUAUUUUAACCUAUGUUAUUUUCUUCUUUUUCAUGCAUCGAAUAACUACACUCUUUUGCUUUCAAGUAUCCUUCAGUGUCCUCUCUGAGCAUCUAAAAGGAAAUCAGGCCAAAGAAUUAAAAGUAGAGUAUGAGGUCUUUUAAAAUUUUCUUUCAGAACUGACAGACCAUAUUCAUAGGUUAUCCUAAUUAAUUUGGGGCAUUUAAAAAAUUAUAGUGAAAACUAUUUAGGAAUACUAUAUAAUUUUAUAAACAGUUAGCAUACAGGAUUAUAAUAGGUCAGUUCCAUCUCAAUUGAUGCCUUACCAUAAAAUUUUUGUACUAGGUCCUGACAGAAUAGUCCUUUUUGGUUUUUUGCAUGCAUCCAGAAGUUUUAAAAUAUUAACACUGAGUUUAUAAAGCAAAAAUUUUGGGCUUGUUAAGUGAGCAUUGUGGGAGGUCAGAAAAAUUUGGACUUUAUUUAAAAUAUUUUAGUUCCUUCCUCUGACUCGUGUAGCUGAAUAGUGGUGCAGAUGGAAGACAGAGCAGUGAUAGUUGUAGUAAGAGCCAGGACAGUUGUGCUUGUGGUCCCAGUUCUGUCACUCACGUGGGUGACUCACCACACCUGUCCUGGCCUGCUUUCAUCAACUGCUGAAGGGGAUGUCCGACUAGGGAAUUUGAAUGGCCCCUUCAGCCCUUCAGAAAUAAAAUUAUGACUUAUCAUUUCCUUCCUCAUCCCUCCAGGAGCAUAUUCCACUCAUCCCAUGGUGUGCCUACAAAGAGAGAAUGUGCAGAGUUUAGGGUGAAUAGAGCUGGUAGAAGGGAGGACACCUGGAAGAUAAGACAUUUGGGGUUUAUUUGAAUCUUCUCAAGACAAGAAAAGGAAGUAUGAAGACUGACUGAAACAUCAGGCUGCUUUUAUGUAAAAUUAGUUUGAAAAAUACACUAUAGUUAUAGAAUUGUUUCUAUUCUGAUAGUAGUAGUAAAAAACAGAUGGCUAUCGAGGCACCUGGGUAGCUCAGUUAAGUGUCCAACUCCUGAUUUCGGCUUAGGUCAUGAUCUCAGAAUUGUGAGAUCAAGCCCUGCGUUGGACUCCACACUUGGCAUGGAGCCUGCUUAAGAUUCUCCCUCUCCCUCGGCCCCUCCCCCUCCCUCUCUUAAAAAAAAAAAAACACAACAGAAAACAGAUGCAUAUAAAUAUAACUUGAGAAAUGAAAUACACUAAAUAGAAAAAUGCAACUAUGGGUGAAAUUUUCUUUAUUUUCCAGAUUUUGCUGUUAUGAUGAAAGAAUGCAGUUAUCAAACUAAAGAUCAAAUAGUUAAUUUCUUCUAAUUAAAAAUAGGUAAAUUUGUUGUACCAAAAAUCUGAUUGUUAGGGAAAUUCAUUUGAGAGGAUUCCUUACGGUGAGUCUUGAAGGGCUCCUGUCCAUCCAAUAUUUAAAGGGUCAGCAUGGCUUAGGAACAUGAGCUCUGGAGCCAGACCACCUGCCUUCACAUCCUGGCUCUACCGCUUAAUAGCUAUGGGAUCCUGGGAAAGUUAUGAAACCUCUCUGUGCUUCAGUUUCUUCAUAGAAUUAUUUAGAGGAAGAGUACUUUUUUAUUGCAAUAUAAUUAACAUACAAUGUUAUAUUGGUUUCGGGUGUACAUCAUAGCUUUAAGAAUUCUGUACUCAGUGUUCAUCAUGAUAAGUGUGGUCAUCUGUCCCCAUAUAACGUAAUUACAAUAUUGUGUAAUGCUGUACUUUUCAUCUCUGUGACUUAUUUAUUUUAUAACUGGCAGUUUGUACCUCUUAAUCCUCUUUAUUUCACUCAUCCUCUUCUCCACUUCUCCUCUGGGAGCCACUAGUUUGUUCUCUCUAUUUUAGAAUCUGAGUUUUUUCUGUUUGUUUCUUUUUCUUUUUUUAGAUUCCACAUAUAAGUGAAAUGUAUUGGACUUUCUCUGAUUUAUUUCACUUAGCAUAAUACCCUCUAGGUCCAUCCAUGUUGCUACAAAUGGCAAGAUCUCAUUCUUUAUAGCUGAAUAAUAUUCUUUUGUGUAUAGAUACCACAUUUUCUUUAUCCAACACUUGGGUUGCUUCCAUCUCUUGGCUAUUAUAAGUAAUACUGCAAUAAACAUAGAGUAUGUAAAUCUUUUCAAAUUAAUAUUUUCAUUUUCUUUAGGUAAGUACCCAGUACUGAAAUUACUGGGUUGUGUGGCAUUUCUAUUUUUAAUUUUUGAGGAAACUCAGUACUAUUUUCCACAGUGGCUGCACCAAUUUACAUUCCUACCAAGAGUACAUGAGGAUUCCUUUUUCUCCACAUCCUCGCCAACACUUGUUAUUUCUUUUUGAUACUAGCCAUUCUGACGGGUGUGAGGUGAUAUCUCAGUGUGGUUUUGAUUUGUGUUUCCCUGAUGAUUAGUGAGGCUGAGCAUCUUUUCAUGUCUUUAGAAAAUGUCUUUUCUGUAUGUCUUCUUUGGAAAAACAUCUAUUCAGGUCCAUUUUAAAAUCAGAUUAUUGUGGUUUCAGACAAACUUUAGUAUUCUAGCUCUAUGAAAAAAGCUGUUGGUAUUUUGAUAGGGAGUGCACUGAAUCUGUAGAUUUUUUUGUAUAGACAUUUCAACAAUAUUCCAAUUCAUGAGCAUGGAAUAUCUUUGCAUUUGUUUGUGUCCUCUUCAGUUUCUUUCAUGAUUGUUUUAUAGUUUUCAGAUUACCGGUGUUUAACCUCCUUGGUUGUUUAUUUUUAGGUAUUUUUGAUGCAAUUGUAAAUGAGAUUGUUUUCUUGAUUUCUCUUUAUGCUACUUUGUUAUAUAGAAAUGCAACACAUUCUGUAUAUUUUGUAUCUUGCAACUUUACUGAAUUCAUUUAUCGGUUCUGGUAGUUUUUGGUUGAGUCUCUAGGGUUUUCCUCUAUGUAGUAUCACAUCAUCUGCAAAUAGUGAUAGUUUUACCUCUUCCUUACCAAUUUGGAUGCCUUUUAUUUCUUGUCUGACUGCUGUGGCUAGGACUUCCAGUAGUAUGUUGAAUAAAAGUGGUGAGCGUACACAUCCUUGUCUUGUUCCUGAUCUUAGAGGAAAAGCUUUCAGUUUUUCACCAUUGAGUAUGAUGUUUGCUGAGGGUUUUUCAUAUUUGGAUAAGUAGUAUCUUAAUGUGUACAGCAUGCUUGCAGGAAUCACUGGCUAGCUCACAGUAAUGAUGUGUUUUAGCUAUUCAUAAAACCCUAAAGAAAGCAUAUGUUUGAGUUGAGACACUUACUAAAAGAAGGAAAAACAAACGUUAAAUAAUCAAAAUAUGAAACAAAACAAAGACCAAAAGGCCAUCAUCAAAAAUGCCAGUAUGUCAGAGGAGAUACAACAGGGCUGGGUGGAGUGUGCUGCUUGGGCGUUGGAGGAAUAGGAUGCAGAGAAGACGCUUGUGGACCAUACUAAGGAGGACAACGCCUCCUGGCCCUGCAUCGGGGGGGGGAGGAACUUUGGUAGUUGUGUGACCCAUGAAACCAACACUUCUUCUGCUUCUACCUGGGCCAGCUGGCCAUUCUGCUAUUUCAGUCUCGUUAAAAGCAUGGCCUGUGAUCCAUCCAAGGACAAGUACUGCAGCCCAAAUUCCAAAUACCAGAGACUGAAAUUUUUAGCCUUGCUGAGGGAACACCUCAGUCUUUGAAACUUUAUUGUAUUUUGUACAGGUCCUUCUCUGUACGAAUUUGUUGUGGCAAUAAAACACUUAGUAAAACAGCUUACAUUUGUAUUUUAUGUUCUAUACCUCUCUGCCCCAUAUUUUUCCUCCCCAAAAUCCAUUCCUUUAAGAAAAAAAAUCUAUUGGAGACAUAGGCACUAGCUACGAUUUGUUCAAAUCUAGGGUUGAAGAUGCCCUAUCACUUGAUCUUGAGUAGGGUAGAGGGGGCCAGUCCUUCAGUCCUUGGAGUUAGUUUCUGUGGGAUAUAAUAGACUAGCCUACACACUGUUCCAGUAUUUAUCACCCAUCGUGCAACCAUCAUGCACGGAAGAAUACCACUCAGACGUUCAUGUCAGGAAAUGGAUGGCAGAGAAACUUUUGGAUUAAAUCUUACUACCGAUCUGAUAAAUACUAUCUUUAAGUGCUCAUUUUGUUAAAUGUUGCUAUAGAAUGUUCUGGGCCUUGGGUCUCAGGUGAUGUUGAUGAAUGUGUAGUAGAACCUCUUUUUCUAAGCUUCCUAUGGCUGUGAAAUAAAUUGAUAAUAAGUUGAGCUGAUGAGACAUUUGCUGGGCUCUAGGUUAUUCCCCUCCCUUUCUUCCUGCCUUAUCCCAAAAGGAUGCUCUAAAGAUUAAAGGUGGUCUUAAAAGGGAAAAUGAAGCUUUUUGAGCAGGAGUGCUCCAUGCAAUUCUAAUAAAGUCUUUCUGGGAGUUUAAACAAGUAGGCCUGUUGCAGUGUAAUUUAACUAGCUGUGUUAGAAACCCCAUUAACAAUUAAAUGAAUAAGGAAAAAAAUAAGACACUAUUUCCAACUCACCCCCCACCUCUGACAACUUUCUCUUGGCUCCUUCUCAGGCACCUAUGAGGACUGUUACCGAGCAGUAGAGGGGACCUAGACUGGGCGACCUAGGCUCUAGCCAGGUCUGCCUGCAGGGUGCCCUGGGUCUGUAGGCACAUGCCUCCUUCGUUUCUUCAUUUUUAAAACAGCAUGUUGAGCUCACUAAAAUUUUUUUUAGUUUUCUUCCAGCACUGAAAUUUUUCUAUUUUAUUUAUUUAUUUAUUUUUAAAGAUUUUAUUUAUUUGACAGAGACAUAGCGAGAGAGGGAACACAAGCAGGGAGAGGGAGAAGCAGGCUUCCUGCAGAGCAGGGAGCCCGA